UAAUAAAAUAUUUGGGAAUCAUAAAUAUAUAUUAAAUUUUAUUUGUAAUUUUUGCAAACUUAAAAUAUUGACAUCGUACAAUUUAACAUUUUUACCAUCAAUUAAGGUUUGAAAGGCUUAAGCUGAAAGACAUAACGGCUACUGCUUCUGGAAUUUCUUUGUCGUAUUUCAUUGAGCAAUCGAUGAGUCAGAUAUCAGGCACUGGAAAAUAAUGAUAGAAUAACGGUUGACCCCAACAAUAAGAAAUAAAUCUUGACGUCAACAAAAUAAUCUAACUUUAACGGAGAUAUUACCAUUAUUGGUAUUAAAAAUGGGUGAGAACAGUUCUAAACUAAACUAAAUUAAACGAACGAGCUACUCAUGAAAAAUAUUGAAGUUGUUUUUGCAGUAUAAUUCAUUUUCAAAAUAUUUUGAGAUAUAUAAGUCCAGUUCUGUUUCUAGUUAAAUAAUUCUGAUCUAAUAGCAUGUUACCUCGACGCUAUUUCGUAUCCUUAUACAUAUAUACGAUAAUGUGAAUCUAUGAAACAUGACAUUAUUAUCAUGAGAUUUCUAGAGGUUCUUGCUACAAGACAAGUAGUGGAUGUCACUACAAGACGAAUUUCCUGAAAAUUUUCUAAAUAACGGCUGUUGGUGUGUCGAAAAACUUCGGUCUUGUGUGGAAAUUGUUACUGGAAGAUUUCGAGUUCGAGGUUCUAUCUUCGUACAUUUAAUAUUCUGAGAAAUUUUAGAUGUCAGAAAAAAUAUUUUCACCGUACUUUAUGUAUUGGCAACCUUCGAUACAUUUUGUCGAUGCGGACAUAGAAACUCUAAUGAAUGAAAGCUAUCAUGACGAAAGAAAUCCAACAAAAUUUGUUAGGGCAAAAAGGAAUUAAAAGUAAAGAGAGGGGUAUUCAAUUCCUCACAGUCUAUAACUGACAUUUUCUCAUAGAAGUAUUGGGAACCAAUUGCCGAGGAUCAAUUCACGACAAGAGCAAGUUCCUUAAAUUUAUUGUAGUACAAACAAAAACUUUUUUUAAGGUUUUAGAACUAGAAUAAGUCAAUAACAAUUAAAAAGAUUUUCAAAUAUGUGUACUAAAUAACGGUUAUUUCAAUGUAUUUGUUUCGAACAUUCGAAAAGCGGUGCAAUCUUUUAUCCGUGAGUCGCGCUAGCUUCGUAUAUUUCAUUACAUAUUCGGGAUGCAUGAAAACUAAAGCUAUUUUCAUAAUUUGUGGGUUCUCAACAUUCAAAUUCUAAUGAGAAUAUUUUUACCACUCAAAAUGUAAAAACUGAGUAUGUGGCAAAACGCAAGGGUACAGCAAAAACUACUUUCCAGAAGUGCUUCGAGGACUGGAAAAAACAAUACAUACCAAGAGAUGAUUACUUGAAAUACUCGUCGAUCAAUAUAAGAAAUGGAGCUUUGUUUACAGCACCACUGAUUUGUACACAAUUGCUUUUGCCGGAGGGUACCCAUUACACUUUUCUAAGCCGUUGAUGGUACAAUGCUAGCAGAUAAGGAAGAGCUCUGCAAAUGUUGAGAACGCCAAAAUGGCUUCACAAAAAUUGCAUAGAAGCCACGUGCACCUACGCUUAAACAUAUGUCUGUUUUCAUUGUCUGCUAACUUGAAUUGGCUGUGAGCAAUAUAAGACGCCUGAAUAUCAGAGGGACGGAGAGGGAAGUGUGCAAUGAGAUUUUUGCAAUGCAAAUAUUCAUUUUGGCAACUUGCCAUAUGUAUUUCCAUUCCCAAAACGAAUGGGGAUCACCGACUGACUGCACAAUGACAAAAGAGA